rnacentral:lncRNA from 1 species
UCAUGGUAUAAUCCUCAACUCAAGCUUAUAAUAUCAUCUCUUCACACUACAUAUAAUCCACAAAAAAUGUACCCUCUAACUGAAAUAUGUAAUAUGCUCAUCGGGCUAAAAACUUUUGCCACGAGCCUUUCGCCUCCUUCAUAAACGAAAGCAGGUCUCCAAGACCUCUAAUAAUUAAUUUUAGAACACAGUCAUGACCCCCCAGUGAAUUAUAUAUACACAAUUAAGACCCCUUCAUCCACAAUCCAAGACCCCUCAAUGUAGUAUAGAACACGGUCAAAACACUUCAGUGAACUAGGAAAAAUAUAUAAUUAUGGGUACUUUUCUAGUCGAUCUGAAUAUCAUGUCUCAUAUUCCAAUUCACAAAUGUACCAUAUACAAUUUUUGAAAUUUCACAUGUAUCACAGUAAAAGAAACUUACAUGGUAAUCAUAUAAUUC